UACCGCCAGGCACAUCUAUCGGACGCUGCUGCAUCUAGCGGGGGGAUAUCCGCCAACGGAAAAUCCCGAGGCUACGCCUCACUGACAACGACCGCCACGCGGCGUUACCGUCAGACCGUCCCUACGGGACACGGGGACUAGUCAAACAGUCUACGACGGCCCUGAUCAGGCACGUUGACCCCCGUCAUUUGGGUGCUAAACAUUGGGCUCGCUACCCAACACCCUCUGCUCCGUGCAGCUCCCCCCUCAUCAAACAAAUUACCGACCAUCCGGAGGUCUAUCUUCGCCGGGGAG
rnacentral:lncRNA from 1 species